CACAGUGAAAUGCUGAAUACAACAGGUGUAGUAGACCUCACAGUGAAAUGCUGAAUACCACAGGUGUAGUAAACCUCACAGUGAAAUGCUUGAAGUCCCUGACCAACAGUGCCGUUACAAAACAAAAGGAAAUAAAAGUAACAAGUAGUUAAAGAGCUGCAGAAAAAUAACAAUAGCGAGACGAUAUACAGGGGGUCCAGAGUCAAUGUGUGGGGGCACUGGUUAGUAAUGAGACUAUAUACAGGGGUACCGGUACCGAGUCAAUGUGUGGGGGCACUGGUUAGUAAUGAGACUAUAUACAGGGGGUACCGGAGUCAAUUCAAUGUGUGGGGGCACUGGUUAGUAAUGAGACUAUAUACAGGGGUACCGGUACCGAGUCAAUGUGUGGGGGCACUGGUUAGUAAUGAGACUAUAUACAGGGGGUCCAGAGUCAAUGUGUGGGGGCACUGGUUAGUAAUGAGACUAUAUACAGGGGGUCCAGAGUCAAUGUGUGGGGGCACUGGUUAGUAAUGAGACUAUAUGCAGGGGGUGCAGAGUCAAUGUGUGGGGGCACUGGUUAGUAAUGAGACUAUAUACAGGGG
ensembl:lncRNA